CGGUCUUUCGGCCGUCCGAGUUGUAAUCUAGAGAAGCGUCUUCCGCGCUGGACCGUGUAUAAGUCUCCUGGAAGGGAGCGUCAUAGAGGGUGAGAAUCCCGUCUUUGACACGGACUGCCAGUGCUAUGUGAUGCGCUCUCGACGAGUCGAGUUGUUUGGGAAUGCAGCUCAAAACUGGGUGGUAAAUUCCAUCUAAAGCUAAAUACAGGCGAGAGACCGAUAGCGAACAAGUACCGUGAGGGAAAGAUGAAAAGAACUUUGGAAAGAAGAGUUAAACCGUACGUGAAAUUGCUGAAAGGGAAACGCUUGAUGUCAGUCGCGUCGGCCGGGGAUCAACCUCGCUUAGUUGCUUGGUGUAUUUCCUGGUCGACGGGUCAGCAUCAGUUUCGAUCGCCGUACAAGGGCGGAGGGAAUGUGGCACUCUUCGGAGUGUGUUAUAGCCUUUCGUCGCAUGCGGUGACUGGGACUGAGGAACUCAGCACGACCCCUUCGAGGGUUCGGGGCUUCGGCCUACGUAUCGUGCUUAGGAUGCUGGCAUAAUGG
rnacentral:rRNA from 1 species